ACUCCUCCAGCUCCCCACCUCCCGCUCAAGCCGCCUGGUCUCCGUGCGCCCCGCCCGCCCCUAGCCUGGACCCCUUCUCCCCGACCCUACCAAUCCCCUAGGGUCCGGCUCGCCCUUCGGCCCCUGUUCCCAGGCCGGCCUCCAGACCUUGUCCUCAUCGGGCGAGCUCCAGGUGCAGAAACCGGGCGCCCAGAGACCCAGCGGGAACAGGCUUGGAACCAGGUCCGAGGUCUGGGCUUGGGCGGGCGCCUGUCGCCCUGACAGCGAGGGUUUGUUUGGGCCGAUUCUUAAUAGGAGGAUUAAUACUAUCAUUAUCGUUGUCCAGAUCCUGACCAUUUCUUUUGUAACUGGCCGAGCACCGGCUUGGGCUUGCAGGUGGGCGCCUGGCGCCGGACAGCGUUUUUGUUUGGGCUUCUUCCUUUUCCGCGCGGGUCCCCUCCGGCGCCUGCCUGGUCCCUCUCCGCGCUCUACCCCCAGGCACGCAGAGACUUGGGCUCCAGGCGGGGGCAGCACUCUCCCCCAGCCUCUGCUGGUGCACCAGAGCCCACUCCGGCACAGAGCAGCGCCCCUCCUAGACCGGCAGCCAGCAGAUCUCAGCCGACCCCCAUGCGACCCCCUUCCUCACGCGGAUUUGCCCCUUUUGUGUGGCAAAAAUAAUAAUAAUAAUAAUAAAUCCAUAUGAAGGCUUCAAACAGAAUUCCGAGAGAAGGAACUGCCAAAUUUUCAAUCAAUCCCAGAAGCCCUGAGGAGUAAUGUGGCUCUCAUGCUUUAUGGCAGGUUUCCCUAAGAGAGACCCAGGAUCUGACCCAUGGCAUCACUGAAAUUCCUCUUUCAGUGAGGCUCCGUUUGCCUAAAGAUCCCUGUCCUCAGUGGGUCUCCCCACACACGGGCCUCUCACUCACCCACUGCCCCACCCCCAUCUGCUGCCCUCUUCCUGGGCCUUAAAGCUCAGACACUAGACUCUGACAAGGAGCCCUCCAUGCCCCGGUAGAGACCAUCUUCUCUCACCACUCCUUUUGAGAGAAACAGCCCUCCCUACAAUUCUGUUGAAUAAGUCUCCUCCUCUGCAUCCUGUUUCACAAGUGAAAGCAGUUUAACAGAAGAAUGCCAGCUCAUAAACGUAGAAAUGCGAGAAUGAGGAAAUCCCCAUUCUGUAACCCUUAAUGAAAUAAUUAAAUCAGGCAGUGUGCACUAGUGGGUGUCAAACCCUUAGGUGAAAGUGUGCAGGCGAACGGGUGCUAAUUGGAAAAAAAAAAGAAAAAGGUUUUCCAUUUUCCAUUUUUUUAUGGAGACAUCUGGCUGUACCUUACAGGAAGAUCAAACUCAGUGUCACUAAUACUGGCUCAACCUGGCAUUAUGUGAUGCAAAAGAAACACACAACAUCAUUGUUGCUGUGUGCUUGCCAAAGAUGCUUCAAUUGAAUCAAUUGCAAAGCCUCUAGACUUUACUGCAAGUUUACAGGAAAUGGAAGAGUUUGAGCCAUGAGUUAAAUGACACCAUGGGAAAAACUGGACUACCAGAGUGUGGGCAUUCUGCAGUCCUGAGCUCUUCCAAAAAAAAUCAAUGUCAAGAAAAAGGGGUGAAGGAUUCUUCUGGUAUAAGAACAGCUGAAAAGAAGAAGUAUAACAAUAAGUACAAAUCCGGAUUGACUCCCAGCUGGACAAAUCAGCACACACACACGCACACAAAAACAUUUUGGAGGAAAUUACAAAUUGGAGGGGAUAUUGACUGAUAGUAUAGAAUUAUUGUUAAUGUUUUUAGGUGUGAUAAUGGCAUAAUGUUUGUUUAGGAGAAUGGCUUUAAUUUUAGGAGGUGCUGCUGAAGUAUUAAAGGGUAAAAUGUCUUCAUGUCUAAAACUUAUUUUAAAUUGUUCAGCACAGUACGUGCACAUAAGCUGAUAUGACAAAAGGUUGGUGAUUAUUGGUUCUACGUGGUGGAUUUAGGGAAGGGGUUGUACAAUCUGUUCUCCUUCUUUGUAUCUUUGAACUUUUUCCAUAAUAAAAAGUUGGAGAAAAAUAAAAUGGCAGGUACUAAACAACUAAAAAAUUUCUCUACCUUUGCGCUUAGACUUUAAAUCAAAUCUAGGCUUAUGGGAAUAAAAUUGAAAGAUACUAUGAGUUAUAUCUGUAUACUUUUGAAAAUCAUGUGGCCCCAAACUUAAAUAUGAUUUGAAUAAAUGUAUUAUAUAUCACAAUUAUGUAAUAUAACCUUACAUGCUUUUUUAAUUAAAAAAAUGAAAUAUAUUCACUUUCCCAA
rnacentral:lncRNA from 1 species